GUUGUGCCUAAACGCACAGGUUCUUGGGGCACCAUCUUUACUAAUGGCCAGAGAACCGUUGCCAGGGUUACCUGAGGCCUUGAUUUAGGCAUAUAGAAGGUGCCCAAUACAAUGCACUAUGUAUUUGUUAAAGGAAUGAAUGAAAAGCAAGUUAUUUAGUGGAGGAAGACAUCUUUGAAUGUGGACUUCACCAUGUGUUAGGGUUUUCACAUUCCCAUCUCUUUCGGUAACAUACACCAGAAUCCUGGAACUUGGUGGCCUGAGGUCAGAUCCCAUCCCUACCUCUCACUAGCUCCAUCACAUGGUCAGCUGGAGUUAGUUGAUUGAAGCUGGGAUUAGCUGAAUUUAACUCCAAGCUGCAGGUUGGAUCCACAUCUGCACCACAUGUCAUUCAUCUUUCUUGGACCAUGUUCUUUUCAGGGCAAAAGGCUGGAGGGGAAGCCAGCCCCACAAGCACAUUGUAAGCCUUUGCUUACAACACGUCUUCUAAUAUCCCAUUGGCUAAAGCAAGUCUCAUGCCAAGCUCAAUAUUAGUGGUGUAGAGAAGUGUACUCCUCCUAUGGAUUACUGAACAGCAAUUCAAUGUACCACAAUCAUGAAUGCAGAUUCCUAUCACAGAGCCCUGUGCUCUGCUUCAGAUACCCAAAGACACAUCCCAAACAAGAAAACAAGAGAAAAAUUGAAUUACCAACUAGGUCUCCCUCCCGUCCCCCCAGAGCUUCCCACGCAGGGAACCAGAUACCUCGCAGCAGCCCCAUCUCCAGACCCCAGGAUUCCUGCAACGGUGGGUACCAUCUUAGCAACCACAGUAGCUGCUUGGCCGUGGGAAAUGCUCCCAAUGCUGUAGAGAUCCACCAGCUCGUGUAGCAAUGUGGCUUGGCCAGACAGUCAGGGUCCCAGAGCAUGAAAAGUCAUUCCUGUCAUCCUGGCAGACCCAGCCUCUUGGAAACCCAUCCAGAGUCCCAGUGCCAGUGUGGUAGGCAGAAUAUUGCCCCCCUUCCCUCCCCCCCACCCCCACAAAGGUCCAUAUCCUAAUCCCCAGAACUUGUGAAGAUGUUACCUUAUAUGGCAAAAGGGACUUCACAGAUGUGAUAAGGAUCUUGAGAUGAUUAGUCUGGAUUAUUCAAGUGGGUCCAGUGUAAUUACAGGGGCCCUUAUAAGUGAGAGAGGGCAGCCGGAGACUCAGAGGCCGAGAUAUGAUGACUGAAGUAGUUUGGAGUGAAGAGCAGGAAGGAACUGUGCAGCCUCUAGAAGCUGGAAAAGGCAAGGACACAGAUUCUCCCCCGGUGCCCGCAAAAGGCAGGUGGCCCUGCCCACCCGUUUCACACUUCUGGUCUCUGGACUGUAAGAUAAUAAAUCUGUGUUGUUUCAA